GAGGCCCAUAAAAGGAGGAGGGAGGCUGCAGCGUGGUGUGGGGGAGAGAAGGAGUUGUAUGAGAACCUUCGACAGCUUGAUCCACCCUCCGAAAGUGCAAACUUUGCACGCAUCCAGCUUAGAUCAUACUAAUUAGCGUCUCUCGAACCACAACCCAGGCCGCUGGGAGUCCCAUAGAUGGGGUAAAAAGAACAUUCCCUUUAGUUUGAACUAAGAGAUAAACCAAGAGCAGAGGUGUCAGAAGUGCCUGCAAAAUGUUUAGCGGAUGCCAUUAGAAUGACAUCUACAAUGGUUCUUUCUAGUCUGGAAAGUCAUCUGUCAGCAUCAGAGGGAUGGAAGUGCUCCAGCCACUGCACGUGCCACUGCCCUUUUCUAUCAUAGUUUGUAGGCCUGUUCUUAAUCCCUACCGACCACACUGGCAUCCUCCCCUGUCUGAUGGAGUCCCCAUAUCAAUUUUGGAAGUUGGCACAUCCCCAUUCCUCCUGAGCAACAACCCUGAGCAGAGAUAUGGAGGGUCCUCAGGCUCUAGCUUUCCCCAACCUUCAUCUGAAAUUCAUUUGCCACCACUGAUACAACCAUACUCAUUUCUUCGCAAUUCCGGAACAAGCUCACCCCUUCAUUGAAUGGAAACAUGAGAAUCACAGGAAUGGAACAGAACGGUACCCGAAUUGCACAAAAUGGAUUCACAGCUGAUGAUUGUCUGGGUUUAGGUGCCAGAAAUGUUGAGUCUCUCCAUCCAGAGAAACAAGAGCAGACUGGAUCGUCACCUCUGACACUCAGACCUACACCUGCCUGCUCAAAGCACCUCUCAGGUUUCCCUCCAACUCUCUUAGAUAUAGAGUUUUUUGCUUCCUUUCUUUCAAGCCAACCUGAACGCAUUCUGACCAAAAUUCAAGGGAUCCCAAAUUCACUGCUCAUUCUUUGAUGCAUCUCUGAAUAUUCCUCAGGGCUGCAAGAUUUAUGAUGCUUCCAGUUUGCUCUGUUAUUCUCUGUGUACCUAUUUCAUGUCUCAUUUUACUCAUUCAUCUGUCAUUUUACUCUUCUGUACAAAAUGCAUUCUUCACCUUUCUGAAGCUGCUCAUCGUAGAAACGCUUUUCUGCACUCCUCUGUCCCCUACAAUAAAGCUUAUCUAUCUGCAUCAAAA